UUCACUUGCAUCGUGGGAAAGAAGCCGUGUUUAUAGUAUUGUUUUUAUCCGAUGAAAGUUCCGCCAUCUUCGCGUUGUGUGUCGUUCUUUAUGUUACAUUUUUAUUAAACAUGUUUUCUGAAAUUGUGAAUAACACUAAUUCAUUGUCAUACGUGUGUAUUGACAUUUAAUUUCAAGUAUAUUAUAACUUGUCUAGGAGCUACCUUAAAAGCUUACUAACCUGUAUGCUUACAAUGGCUACACGUGUGUGUAAUUCUAAGUUUGAAUAUGUAACGUAAAACAAAGUGCUCUAAUAUUAGUGGUAGGUGCAGCAUUUUGAAUCGAAAUGUGAUAAUUCGUGGUAUAAGAUUUCAGAGUAUGAUUGAUUAUCAAUUUGUUUCGUCUUAUCAAUACUGCAGUGUUACUUGUGUUGUGUAAAUCUUCCUCAAGGAAUCCAGACCUAGGCCUGCACGCUCACACAGACCAACGAGUAGCCUGGGAGAGGAGUGCGUCAGAGUCAUCUUGAGGCACAAGGACAUAUUCGGUAUGGAUGCUUGCGCAGCGAACUGCCCAACACAAAAUUCUGACGUACUCAGGACAUUCCCCACUUCUUCAGUUCGGUGAGUGAGUAGCUGUCUCACACACCGGCUGUCAGAAAACUGCGUUGCUCAUUGGGAUAAAAGGCUUUGUGGCUCUAAGACGCGCGUAAUGUACGUAUAUGAAGACACACACCUGACGGGAAUCGAGGUCCAUCCAUCAGGUUCCUGGAGAGCUGCCUCGCUGUUUUUGGUUGCUGAAGACCGCUGGUUAUGAAUUGUGAAAGGGAAUAAACAGCCUUGAUCCACCGUAUGGGACCGGCAGGAAAUGCAGAUGGGAGUGGCGGCCUUGCAGCAACAACAAACCGGCCUCAGUUGCGGAAGAGCCUCACGUGAGAUUUUCGAGACACGCCACUGACAACUUAAGCCGAAAGCGGUUUCUUCGAGACUCCGAGCCCCGGACAGACGGACGGACGACCAGAGAGCGGAGCAGGGAAACGCGAGGAGGGGAGAACAAGGCGCGACGCUCUCCGUCGGUAGCGAGCAAUGACAGCUUGAUGUAAUUCGCAGGCUUCUGCGUUACUGUCCCGCCGCUUGAUUGCGGCAGCCAUGAAUGAAGUGUCAUUGUGAUACUUAAUGUGCUCACGGCGACGGCACACAAUUCAAAAUGGGAGCGCAGUCAAAUGAGUGCAUGAUGAGUAUUGUGGGCAUGACACACAGAUGAGCGAUGUGGCUCGGAUUUACGACCGAUGAUAAGUCUCCGGCAAGGAACAUGGAAGAGGCAGGGUAGCUGCAAUUGACUGGCAUAAUUAUUUUCUCGUUGUUUACGCAACUAAAAUAGAACAAAGAGA